UACGGGGGGGGUAAGCGUUGUUCGGAAUUACUGGGCGUAAAGGGCGCGUAGGCGGCCUUCUAAGUCGAACGUGAAAUCCCUGGGCUCAACCCAGGAACUGCGUCCGAGACUGGUGGGCUCGAAUCCGGGAGAGGGAUGUGGAAUUCCAGGUGUAGCGGUGAAAUGCGUAGAUAUCUGGAGGAACACCGGUGGCGAAGGCGACAUCCUGGACCGGUAUUGACGCUGAGGCGCGAAAGCCAGGGGAGCAAACGGG
rnacentral:rRNA from 1 species